AUGCGCAGAGCCGAGGCGGGAAGGACUCUGCAGCUCCGGACCCCUCGGCGUGUUCAGCGGGCGCUGGAAGGCCUGCUGAGGGCCAGCUCGCUGCUUUCGCAGGGCUCGUGUCCGGGAAGGGAAGACGAGGGAACACGGACAUCCGGGACUCGCGGUGGGCCGCAGAGGGGUCCGGGUCGAGUCCGCGCCAUCUCUGCGGAGACCGGACGAGAAGUGAUCUGGGGGAAGGUCACUCAGAGCAACAGGAGCGGCCGGUUCCAAGACGGGGAUGGCCGCGGUGGGCGAGAGAAACACGUCCCUGCAGCUCCACGAAGGCGGAGAGUGCGGAGGGUCAGGGUGAAGGCAAAGCCUGACCGUGCGCCGCAGCGUCCCGGGUGUGCAGCUCAGAGGCGGGGCGGCCUGGCCUGUGUCCUCUUCCGAAAGGCAGCGAGAUGGACGUCCCGGGGUCCGCGCGCUGUCGGGAGCGCUCCACGGCACGGCGCGUCGGCAUGCACCGUGCAGCAAGCCCCUGUGGGCCGUCGGCCCCGCGCCAGGCCCACUCCCGGUGCGCCUACUCUCGGUGCGCGCACUCCCGGUGCCGAGUGCGGCGGCGGGAAGCCCUGGCUCCUCCUGUCCCCGCACGCGCACCCCCGUCUGGCUUCGUUUUCUUGCGGAACGCGUCACCCCUGCAUCUUCGGCAGCGCUCGCCGGGGCCGGCACUGGCCUCCACCUAGUCCCACAAGCAGCGGCCGCGGCCUCGAAGCGCACCGCAGCCUGGGCGGGGGCGAGCGCCCGCGGCCACCCGUUCCAGCCUCCCUCUCGGCGGAGGGGCCCGGAGCGCUCGCGGGUAGGACGGGGCUCCGUCUUCCGCGCGAUUGGCCGGUAGAGGUGUCUGUCCACGCCUCCACGCGGUCAUUGGCAGGGAAGGCACCCGCGGCCCGCCCCCUCCCCAGGCCGGACGUGGGCCGGACGCCGGCAGGAAGUCGGCGGCCCGAGCGGAAGCGGCGGGGUCGCGGGGUCCUGCCCGGGACUGCGCCACGUCCCCGGGGGCCGUGGCCGCGCGGCUGA
rnacentral:lncRNA from 1 species